rnacentral:rRNA from 1 species
UACAGAGGUCUCAAGCGUUGUUCGGAUUCAUUGGGCGUAAAGGAUGCGUAGAUGGUGUAGUAAGUUAUCGGUGGCAAAUCGAGGCUCAACCUCGUGGAAGUCGGUAAUACUGCUAUGCUAGAGGAUAGGAGAGGUUAACGGAACUCCCUCUGGAGCGGUGAAAUGCGUAGAUAUAGGGAAGAACACCAAUCAGGCGAAGGCAGUUAACUAUUCUAUUCCUGACAUUGAGGCAUGAAAGCGUGGGGAGCAAAACGG